UACGUAGGUGGCGAGCGUUAUCCGGAAUUAUUGGGCGUAAAGCGCGCGCAGGCGGUUCCUUAAGUCUGAUGUGAAAGCCCUCGGCUUAACUGAGGAAGUGCACCCGAAACUGAGUAGCUAGAGUACUAAAGAGGGUCGCGGAAUUCCCGGUGUAGAGGUGAAAUUCGUAGAUAUCGGGAGGAACACCGGUGGCGAAGGCGGCGACCUGGGUAGAUACUGACGCUGAGGCGCGAAAGCGUGGGGAGCAAACAGG
rnacentral:rRNA from 1 species